AUACGUAGGCGGCAAGCGUUGUCCGGAAUUAUUGGGCGUAAAGCGCGCGCAGGCGGUCCUUUAAGUCUGAUGUGAAAGCCCACGGCUCAACCGUGGAGGGUCAUUGGAAACUGGAGGACUCGAGUGCAGAAGAGGAAAGUGGAAUUCCAAGUGUAGCGGUGACAUGCGUAGAGAUUUGGAGGAACACCAGUGGCGAAGGCGACUUUCUGGUCUGUAACUGACGCUGAGGCGCGAAAGCGUGGGGAGCAAACAGGAUUAGAUACCCUGGUAGUCCACGCCGUAAACGAUGAGUGCUAAGUGUUAGGGGGUUUCCGCCCCUUAGUGCUGCAGCUAACGCAUUAAGCACUCCGCCUGGGGAGUACGGUCGCAAGACUGAAACUCAAAUGAAUUGACGGGG
rnacentral:rRNA from 1 species